ensembl:rRNA 5S_rRNA 5S ribosomal RNA
CUGGUUAUCCAUACCACCCUUAAUGUGCCCAGUCUUGUCUGAUCUCGGAAGCUAAGCAGGGUCAGGCCUGGUUAGUACUUGGAUGGGAGGAUUAUUCUUAAGAUAACAAGA